ACUGAAAAAAUUUCUGUGCAAUUCAGAAUACUUUGAAAAUUUUAUCAUUGCUGUGUGUUUUAGGAAAAAUAAUUUUAGUGUUGAAGUUUAGUAGUUAGUAAUGAAAUAUAGAAUUUUGCGAUAGUAAAAAAGUACUGAGAAGGAAAUGUGAAAUAUAAUGAAAAUCUAAUUUUAAAAAAGCAGAUAUUAGUAAUCGUACCUUGUGUAUCAGGGAAUAAUAAAUAAAAUUUCUAGAUAGAAAUUUCCCAAAAGAGAAAGAUCUAAGUUUUUAUAAUUGUUUCUGUGUCAUUAUAAUUUUAAAUAAAAACUUUGGUGUGAAAUAUUACUCGGUUUCUCUAAUAUUUGGUUUCUUAAGAAUUAAAUUCAAUUUAGGCUUAUUCUUAUUUAAAUUUAUUUUGUUAAUUUAUAUAUAGUAAGACUUAGGGUUAGAGGGAUUAGCUUUUUACCCAAUUAAAAUUUAGGUAUAAAUUAUUAAUUUAAUAAAAUGCUUAUAUGCUUAGAAAUAGCAAUUAAUAAAAAUUAUGUUAUAAUUUGCAUUUUAAUAAUAAUUAUUUAAUAAUAAUUUACUUGAUUUAUUAAGAUAAAAUCUUAAAUAAUUUAAGAUUAGAAAUAAUAUUAUUAUGAGUAGAAAAAUUAUUAGAAUUUUUACAUUGUAUAAAUAUAAUAAAGGAACUCGGCAAAUAUAUUUUUCGCCUGUUUAUCAAAAACAUCUCCUCAAGAAUUAAUUUGAGGUAUAGCCUGCUCUAUGAAUUUUUUUAAAUGGCCGCGGUAUUUUGACCGUGCGAAGGUAGCAUAAUCAUUAGUCUUUUAAUUGGAGGCUGGUAUGAAUGGCUGGACGAGAAAAUUUCUGUCUCUAUUAUAAAUUUUGAAUUUUAUUUUUAAGUGAAAAAGCUUAAAUUCAUUUGAGGGACGAUAAGACCCUAUGGAUCUUUAUAAUGAUAAAUGGCAAAAAGGUUGGGUGUAACAGCUUGUAGUUUUAAUUUAUUAGGUUGGGGCGACCGGAAGAAAAAAAUAUCUCUUCUUAAAUAAAAUAUUUUUUAAUAGAAAAAAGAUGACCCUGAAUUUUGGUUUAAAAGACUAAGUUACCCUAGGGAUAACAGCGUAAUCUUUUUGGAGAGUUCAUAUCGAUAAAAAGGUUUGCGACCUCGAUGUUGGAUUAAGAGAUCCUUGCGGCGCAGCCGUUGUAAAGGAGAGUCUGUUCGACUUUUAAUUUCUUACAUGAUCUGAGUUCAAACCGGCGUGAGCCAGGUUGGUUUCUAUCUUCAAAUUUUGAAUUUCAUUUUAGUACGAAAGGAUUAAAUGGAAAAAGAAUGUUUAUUUAAAGAUUUAAAUUAAUUAAUAUUACUAACUUGGCAGAGAAGUGCUAUAGAUUUAGAAUCUAUU
rnacentral:rRNA from 1 species